rnacentral:tRNA from 1 species
GGGAUAGAAGCUUAAUGUAAAGCGUUACUCUGUAAAAGUAAAGAUGAGAUUGUAAAAUGAAUCUCCUUUUCCA